CCACCUCUCCUUUUCCUGCAGCAGGGGUCCUCGCCAGAGCUUGGAGACCUGGGGGCUCACGGACAGCCAGAGCUCCCAAGAGUCCCCAGAUUCCAUCUGCCCAACUUGGCACCGGGGACAAGAUCAAGGAUGUGUUGGGAAACCACUGCUUUAAGCAGAGCAGCGCAGGGAAGGAAGAAUAACUGGUUGUGAGCCUCCUGGAGUUGGAGAGAAGUUUUACUAAGUCUUCAGGGAAGAGAAAAUUCUAUUUUUAGGAAGCUAUUCCAGAACACAGAAAUAUGAAAAACUUCCCAAGAUUCAUCAUAUCAAAUCAGCAUGACCAGACACGUGGAACAGAAGAAAGAACCAAAAAAUAAAAAUAAA